rnacentral:ncRNA from 2 species
CGACCAUCUAGAGCAGCCGAGAGACCUGGCUCAUCGACGUUGCAGCAACCUCCGCUUAGCGGUGCAGGUGCUUCCGCCAGGACCGAUGGAGG